rnacentral:lncRNA from 1 species
GACUUAAAAUUAGCAAGUUAUGACCAUUUCAUUAUUUAGGUUUUUCUGACGAAAAACGCUAUAACCGGAGUUCUAUAUCUCUGAUAACCAUGAAAUUUAAACCGGAAGCUCACGUUAACAUGUACAAGAUCUUGCCAAAAUUUGGGAAUUUCUAGAGUUAAACUUGAGGUAGCUAAUUUCUUAAGGAAUUAAUUAAAAAUUAAUUUUUGAAAAAU